AGUGAACGCUGGCGGUAGGCCUAACACAUGCAAGUCGAACGGCAGCACAGAGGAGCUUGCUCCUUGGGUGGCGAGUGGCGGACGGGUGAGGAAUACAUCGGAAUCUACUCUGUCGUGAGGGAUAACGUAGGGAAACUUACGCUAAUACCGCAUACGACCUACGGGUGAAAGCAGGGGACCUUCGGGCCUUGCGCGAUUGAAUGAGCCGAUGUCGGAUUAGCUAGUUGGCGGGGUAAAGGCCCACCAAGGCGACGAUCCGUAGCUGUCUGAGAGGAUGAUCAGCCACACUGGAACUGAGACACGGUCCAGACUCCUACGGGAGGCAGCAGUGGGGAAUAUUGGACAAUGGGCGCAAGCCUGAUCCAGCCAUACCGCGUGGGUGAAGAAGGCCUUCGGGUUGUAAAGCCCUUUUGUUGGGAAAGAAAUCCAGCUGGCUAAUACCCGGUUGGGAUGACGGUACCCAAAGAAUAAGCACCGGCUAACUUCGUGCCAGCAGCCGCCGUAA
rnacentral:rRNA from 1 species